AUUGAACGCUGGCGGCAAGCCUAACACAUGCAAGUCGAACGAGUGGCGGACGGGUGAGUAAUGUCUGGGAAACUGCCUGAUGGAGGGGGAUAACUACUGGAAACGGUAGCUAAUACCGCAUACCAUCGGAUGUGCCCAGAUGGGAUUAGCUGGUAGGUGGGGUAAAGACUCACCUAGGCGACGAUGCCUAGCUGGUCUGAGAGGAUGACGAGCCACAGUAGAACUGAGACAAGGUCCAGCACUCUACGGGAGGCAGCGGUGGGGAUUAUUGCACAAUGGGCGCAAGCCUGAUGCAGUCAUGGCGCGUGGAUGAAGAAGGCCUUCGGGUUGUAAAGUACUUUCAGCGGGGGGGCGUUACCCGCAGAAGAAGCACCGGCUAACUCCGUGCCAGCAGCCGCGGUAAUAC
rnacentral:rRNA from 1 species